CCAACCCAUUUCCAUAAGGCCGGCUUUAAAACCCACCCAGUCCUCCCCUGGGACUGAGAAGGGACAGGCAGGGGACGCUGUGCCACAAGGUGGCGCCUCUGUCCUGGAGGGUCCCUCCCAGGCCCAGGUGUCCUGUGUGCCCUCUGACCCUGCCAUCUGUCCUUCCCAGCACUGAUCAGGCCCAUCCUGAGACCUGCAGGGCAGGCUGUGACUCGCUGGCGRUCCCUCGGCAGUCCUGGGCUCCCAGGAGCUGUGCCCGCACCUGCAGCUCUGGUGGGCGGCUCCGCAGAGACGCCGGGCGAAGCUGCCUUCACCAGGACACRAGGGAAAUCCAAUCCAUUUUUCCUUCGGAGUUUCCUAGAGAUAAUCACACCAUCAGGAGGUCCAGUCAUCGCCCUUGGAAUGACCUUGGAGGCAGCAGGGCCAGCCUGUUUUACCGAGUGCCCGCAGGGCGGGGCASCAGGAGGGGCCUGCCACCCACCCCCCAGAGAAUCUCCAGGGCCCACUCCCCCAUGCCCUUGAUGCUCUGAUGACACAGAACUCCCUGUGGAGACGGACACAACACCUUUAUAGGUUUUUAUGUGGUGCUGAG